CACACGGCCAUGUGAUGGGCCUUUCCUCUUCUUUACUUGUAGAGCUUCAAGCUUAUCAAUGGCCGAAAAUCCACCGUUGCAAUGGUUCAAAUUUACCAAGUGUCAAAAUAAAUGCACACAUUUUUCUUUUGGUAAAAAGGCAAAUAUAUUAACAAAUAUAUUGCACUAUACUCUUCUGAGCUCUACAGCUGAUGAAGACUUGCAAGGACCGAAGGAUACCCUAAUCCAAGAGGUGAUUUCAUGUAAGGCAGAAGCAGAUUCCCUUAUUGUUCCAAACAUGCAAGAUUUCCAGAUUUAGCCAAUCUUGAAAGAGCCUUUGAGAGAAAUUUUGAAUCCAAAGUAGAAGAGUCCAAAAACAGAGAGUCAGAAAAAGGUGGGGAGAUAUAGUUUCAGGUAAGUGGAAAAAUCACUGUAGUACGAUCUUCUCCAUCGAGAGACAAAUGAACAGCACAGUGCGCCUUUUUUCCGUUUCUUGAAUAAGUGAAGCUUGAUUCUCCAAAUAGAAAGAUCAAGUUGAAUAUGAGGCCAAAGCAAAAAAGGUUUGCUUGGCCAAGAAAGCCAGAUUCAUGUGCUUAGUGUUCCUUAAGCCAAGACCACCCUUUUUGGUAGAGGUAAAAAGAAUUUCCCUUUUUGGCAAAAUGAAUGCUUUUCUUACCAUCAUUAUAUUCCCACAAGAAAUCAAUGAGCUUUGCAUCAAUGGUAUCACAAAGAUGGUUAGGAAGUUUAAUACUAGAGAGAAUGUGAAUAUUAUAUGAAUAUAAGAUAAGAUGUGAACAGACACAUCCUUAUGAAAAAAUAUUUUUAAAUAUAUGAAUACAAGUAUAUGCAUGCAUUUGUAUAUGUAUAAAUGACAAUUUUUCUUCUAAACCUCGACAUUUAAAAACAUCAUAAUAUGCCUCUCUUGUUAAUUACAAGAAUAUUGACUGACAAGCUCUAUGAGAAAAAAUGUGGGCUUCACAACAUUAGACUAGCAGACAUCACCUAUAAUUAACUGGAAGGGAAAUAUUAUUAUGUUUUUAAAUGUUGAAGGAAAAAUUGAAAAAAAAAAGGAUAUUAGAUGCUCUUAAAUCUAUAAUUUAAGGGUCAAAUUUUUCUUUUAUCCUAUGCAUACGUAUGUACAUGUAUCAACCAGUUCAUGAAUAUAUUCUAAAUCCUGCAAUUGCAUGGUUGGAUCCAUUUUGAUAAUGGGAGCAUGGUUAUAUAUUGUUAACAUAUAAUUAUCAAUUAAUCAUUAAAAUAAGCAAUCAUAUUUUGCAUAUAACUGGGUGUACAGGGAACCAGAUAAACUCACAAAUUCUUAAAAAACAAAAAAAACAAAAAACAUAUUUCUACUUUCUUUUUUUUCCAAUUAUCAUAAGUAUAAUUGAUUACUCUUUUCUUUCUUGAACGCAUGAAUUUUUUGUUUUGGCCAUAAAUACAUCUCAGAUACACUUUUAAAAAGAUAAGUAGAGAUCACAUGGCCAAACUACAGUGGGUCUCGUAUGUGUCAAUGAGAGGCUUUAAAUCCCAAUCCGUACUUCUUGAGAUUUUGUCCCAACAAUGCCAAUAAAUCAAGAAAAAAAAAUGACUUCGAUGAUUAAAAAAAUACAGGUACACAUGCUAAGAAGACCAAACCAAUUAUGAAGCAAUGAUACUGAAAAGCAAAAGACAAAAACAAAAAAACAAAAACAAAAACAUAGCUUGUUUUAUAUGUAUAUAAAUAUGUUCAUUGAGUAGUGUCUUCUAUCCACGCUACAAUCUACUUAAGAUAAACAAACAAGUUUCCACUAUUAUCUUCUUCUCAAAUGGCCAUAUGUGCAUUGAUAACUUGGCCUGAAUAGGUCAUGAAAACUGAAUAAGAGAGAAAGCAAAAAAACCAUUAACCAUGUUUCUUUUAUCAUAGCAUUCUGAAACUUUGACCGGUAACACCUAUGUUUUCUUUUAGAGGCAUGAAAAUUAAUCAGUGUACAGGGCAACCAUCUACUGCUAUGCCUUUAGCAGUAGGACAUGUUGCAAGAGGACAGUGUUCACCACCAGUUCCCCACCAAGUGAUACUCUUGUUCUCAAGUCCUACUGAGAAGUAUAUCAAUACAGCCAUGAAAGCAACCCCAGCAUCAAGUGCUGCAGAUAGCACAUAGUUGUACCUCUGCCACCAUUGCUUCCUGUAACGGAAGACGAAGAAGUUGAAGAUGGUUCCAACAGUAAUCCAUGCAUUGUAGUUCAAUGAUGUUGCAGGUGGCAUAGCUCCUGUUGCUCCUAGUAGGACUGGAAAGUUGAUCAGUGGAAUCCAUGAUUGGUUAGGAAAUGCCAUGUGCAAUAGCCAAACAAGUAUGGGACCUAGUGCUCCUCCAAGGAAGAACCAGUUCAUUGCACUGUAGUUUCCCUCAGAACCAAAGAUUUUCUUUGGUCCUACUAGACCCCAAAUGACUGAUGCGUCGAAGAAGACGCGAUCACCAGGACAUGUCCAUGGACUGUCUGGAGGGAGAACUUCAUCUUGGCAAAUGUUCUUGAUGGAUGUCAGUAGCCACCAUGCUACACCAGCGUUGAUGGUUCCAGCCAUCAUAGUACCAAUGAACUAUUCAGAUAUGAAAAAAAUGGGGUGUAUCAUCAGAGACUGUAGGAAAAUGCAAUAUUAAUAUACCUUAAGCAGGACUGUGUCCCUAACAAGUAACAUCUGAUAUACUUUAUGAUACUGAUAGGGAGGGUAAAAAUGAAAGCAAUGGCUGAAGCAAAAAUAAGUCCCCACCAAGGCAUUUGAACCUGAUCGUUCAGAAAGAUGCAUAGAACCAGAGAAAAUACAAAUGUCACACCCAGCAACAAAUAAAACCACCAUGAAGUAUCGGAAAAGAGAGACUCACCUUCCAUAGAAACAUGCAACAUGUGUUAGGGUGGCUGCUAUCGUGGCAAAUCCAAAACCAUAAGUGAGAGUAAAGAACACACUCAGAUGAAUCCUGCCUUGAGCUUCAUACUCAGCAACGUUAAGCUCAAACUUGUCGUUGACAAUGGCUGUUAUGUUGUACAGUUGACCUUGAGAUGUGAACAAAUGUGAAGAGAAAAUAGGAAACCUAUUGGCAUUAUACACAUUUAGGCCCCAGUAAGCCAGAGGAAUCACAAUAUACACUAUCACUGCAUAGCCAACGAAGACAUUGACAAUGGAGAAGAAGGGUGAGAUGAGAGGGCUAAACAAGAAAGAUGCCACAGCAGACCAGUCCAGUGUUAUGGCUCCGAGUCCUAGACCUUUCAUGCCAGACCCUAACUGCUGAGCUGUGACUGACUUGGAGAAUAUCCAGCAGAUCCAUGAUAUGCUUGUGAGAGUUGAGAACAAGUAUCCAGGGACUAAGUACCACGAAAAACUGCAGGCUAGUGCAACGAAGAAGAAUUUUGCCCUUGUUAGUCGUUGAUCGUCUUUCUCAUGUAAAGCUCUGCAUUAUGUACAUGAAUGUGUGAAACUUCAAUGGAUAAAGAUGCAUGUUAAGAUGCAUUGCUAUAUUACUAGAAAUCAUAAAAUUUUAAGAACAGGAAGAUGAGAAAAGUUGGUAUGGAACAGAUGAGACCAAAAACAGAGGAAGCUAGAUUACCAAUCAGUUUAUUGAUAAGGAUUAUGGACUAAAGGGGCGAUUCUAUCA